GACGAACGCUGGCGGCGUGCCUAAUACAUGCAAGUCGAACGAAAACGCCCGGCUCUUGCUCUGUUCACUCUAGUGGCGCACGGGUGAGUAACACGUGGGUAACCUGCCUAUCAGAGGGGGAUAACAUCCGGAAACGGGUGCUAAAACCGUAUAAGUUUUUGAACCGCAUGGUUUGAUGGGGAAAAUCGGCGCUAGCUUCUGCUCUCGCAUGGUCCCGCGGGGCUUUAGCUAGUUGGUGUGGUAACGGCUCACCAAGGCCGUGAUGCAUAGCCGACGUGAGAGGGUGAUAGGCGACAUGGGGACUGAGACACGGCCAAAACGCCUACGGGAGGCAGCAGUAGGGAAUCUUCCGCAAUGGACGCAAGUCUGACGGAGCAACGCCGCGUGAGUGAAGAAGGUGUUCGGAGCGUAAAACUCUGUUGUUAGAGAAGAACAAGUGCUGGAGUAACUGUUAGCGGCCUGACGGUAACUAACCAGAAAGCCACGGCUAACUACGUG
rnacentral:rRNA from 1 species